CUACGGAGGGUGCAAGCGUUAAUCGGAAUUACUGGGCGUAAAGCGUACGUAGGCGGUUCGUUAAGUUAGAUGUGAAAGCCCCGGGCUUAACCUGGGAACUGCAUUUAAAACUGGCGAACUAGAGUUGAGUAGAGGGGAGUGGAAUUUCAGGUGUAGCGGUGAAAUGCGUAGAGAUCUGAAGGAACACCAGUGGCGAAGGCGGCUCCCUGGACUCAAACUGACGCUGAGGUACGAAAGCGUGGGUAGCAAACGGGAUUAGAUACCCUAGUAGUCC
rnacentral:rRNA from 1 species